rnacentral:rRNA from 1 species
GAUGAACGCUAGCUACAGGCUUAACACAUGCAAGUCGAGGGGAAACGACAUCGAAAGCUUGCUUUUGAUGGGCGUCGACCGGCGCACGGGUGAGUAACGCGUAUCCAGCCUGCCCAUCACUUGGGGAUAACCUUGCGAAAGUAAGACUAAUACCCAAUGAUAUCUCUAGAAGACAUCUGAAAGAGAUUAAAGAUUUAUCGGUGAUGGAUGGGGAUGCGUCUGAUUAGCUUGUUGGCGGGGUAACGGCCCACCAAGGCAACGAUCAGUAGGGGUUCUGAGAGGAAGGUCCCCCACAUUGGAACUGAGACACGGUCCAAACUCCUACGGGAGGCAGCAGUGAGGAAUAUUGGUCAAUGGGCGAGAGCCUGAACCAGCCAAGUAGCGUGCAGGAAGACGGCCCUAUGGGUGGUAAACUGCUUUUAUAAGGGAAUAAAGUGAGAGUCGUGACUCUUUUUGUAUGUACCUUAUGAAUAAGGACCGGCUAAUUCCGUG